AGUUCUAGCUGGCAGUUCCAGCUUUUCCACGGCCAUGCGGACAGUCCUGCCAGCUUUGUGCUAUCUGCACCAAUGUCACUCUGCAGCACCCGUGUCUGUGGCGUGUUCCUGGCGAAUGGGAUGUAUUCAUCAUUAACUGAAAUGUCUCGUCUGCAGUACAAGAUUCUGCUGUACUCACUGGACGGCCGGUUGUUGUCUGCGUACAGCGCUUACGAGUGGUCCCUGGGCAUCAAGUCUGUGGCCUGGAGCCCUAGCAGUCAGUUUCUGGCAGUUGGGAGCUACGAUGGAAAGGUGCGCAUCCUUAAUCACGUGACUUGGAAAAUGAUCACGGAGUUUGGGCAUCCUGCAACCAUUAAUAAUCCCAAGAUAGUGGUGUAUAAGGAGGCCGAGAAGAGCCCGCAGCUGGGACUGGGCUGCCUCUCCUUCCCACCCCACCGGGCCGGGGCCGGCCCUCUCCCGAGCUCAGAGAGUAAAUGUAAGUAGCACACGUGAUGUCAUUUGUUUUCCUUUUUUAAUGCAAGAUUCCUCGUUGUCCAGAUAAACUUCGGAUGUUCCUUAUGUUU
rnacentral:sRNA from 1 species